AUAACAGAAGCCAAAGCAGAUCUAACGUGCUGUGAUGAGUCGGAUGACAAUUCCUUCACAGACGGAAGAAUAUGCUGUAAAGAAAGCUCAGGACUAAGAAUCUGACUGAAUUUGGUGGCUUUCCCUGCAGCAGCUAUACGCACUUCCGCUUCAUUAUCCCGCAGCAAACGCACAUAAGAAGGAACCAGGUCCUUCCUGCUCG
rnacentral:misc_RNA from 1 species